rnacentral:rRNA from 1 species
GAUGAACGCUGGCGGCGUGCCUAAUACAUGCAAGUCGAGCGAACAGACGAGGAGCUUGCUCCUCUGACGUUAGCGGCGGACGGGUGAGUAACACGUGGAUAACCUACCUAUAAGACUGGGAUAACUUCGGGAAACCGGAGCUAAUACCGGAUAAUAUAUUGAACCGCAUGGUUCAAUAGUGAAAGGCGGUUUUGCUGUCACUUAUAGAUGGAUCCGCGCCGCAUUAGCUAGUUGGUAAGGUAACGGCUUACCAAGGCAACGAUGCGUAGCCGACCUGAGAGGGUGAUCGGCCACACUGGAACUGAGACACGGUCCAGACUCCUACGGGAGGCAACAGUAGGGAAUCUUCCGCAAUGGGCGAAAGCCUGACGGAGCAACGCCGCGUGAGUGAUGAAGGUCUUCGGAUCGUAAAACUCUGUUAUUAGGGAAGAACAAAUGUGUAAGUAACUAUGCACGUCUUGACGGUACCUAAUCAGAAAGCCACGGCUAACUACGUG